UAGCUCAGUUGGUUAGAGCACCACCUUGACAUGGUGGGGGUCGUUGGUUCGAGUCCAAU
rnacentral:tRNA from 2 species